UACGUAGGGACCGAGCGUUGUCCGGAAUUAUUGGGCGUAAAGAGCUUGUAGGCGGUUUGUCGCGUCUGCUGUGAAAACCCGGGGCUCAACCCCGGGCCUGCAGCCGAUACGGGCAGACUAGAGUUCGGCAGGGGAGACUGGAAUUCCUGGUGUAGCGGUGAAAUGCGCAGAUAUCAGGAGGAACACCGGUGGCGAAGGCGGGUCUCUGGGCCGAUACUGACGCUGAGGAGCGAAAGCGUGGGGAGCGAACAGG
rnacentral:rRNA from 1 species